rnacentral:rRNA from 1 species
CUGGUUGAUCCUGCCAGUAGUCAUAUGCUUGUCUCAAAGAUUAAGCCAUGCAUGUCUAAGUAUAAGUUCUGUACUGCGAAACUGUGAAUGGCUCAUUAUAACAGUUAUUAUUCCCUGGCCGGUCAGUGAUUCCUUGGAUACCCAUGGUAAUUCUAGAGCUAAUACAUGCUUAAAAACCCGACUUCUUGAAGGGUUGCGCUUAUUAGAUACCGAACCAACCCAGGCUCCGUCUGGUUUUCGUUGAUUCAUAGUGUUCUGGCGAAUCGACUUGCAAGAGUCGAUGAGGCUAUCAAGUUUCUGACCUAUCAGCUUCCGACGGUAGGAUAUUGGCCUACCGUGGCUUUGACGGGUAACGGAGAAUUAGGGUUCGAUUCCGGAGAGGGAGCCUGAGAAACGGCUACCACAUCUAAGGAAGGCAGCAGGCGCGUAAAUUACCCAAUCCUGACACAGGGAGGUAGUGACAAGAAAUAUCAAUAUAAGACGUUUCUGUCUUGUAAUUGGGAUGAGCGAAACAUAAACCGCUUCUCGAGUAUCAAUUGGAGGGCAAGUCUGGU